ACAGCAGUUUUGGCUCCAUUGUGGCGGUGGCAGGAGGUCAUCUCAGGCCCGGAGGAAAUGACCUUCUACAACAUUUCCCCUCAAACACCUGACUGCUUAGAGACUUUUCCUGGCCUCCUCUAGUCUCUCCUAACAUCCUCACUGUGACCUCAGAUGGCUCACCACCAUAAAAAUACAAACAAGGGAACUGGAGAGAUAGAUCAGUGAUUAAGAAAGCUAGCUUGUUGCUCUUGGAGAAGACUAGAUUCAGUUCCCAGCAUCUAUGAUGGGAGCAAGGCCAUCAGCCACCUCCUGCUCUUGCUGCUCUGUAAUAAUGGAUUGGACCCUCCAACAGCGAGCUGAAGUAAAACCCAUCUCAGUGGAUUUGUUAGGGAAUUCGUCAAAGCAGUAAGAAAUCCCUUCCUAGAAACAGUGCAACCAGAAAACAGCAUUGAAACCAGAUUUUUAAAAA